rnacentral:rRNA from 1 species
UACGAAGGGUGCAAGCGUUAAUCGGAAUUACUGGGCGUAAAGCGCGCGUAGGUGGUUCAGCAAGUUGGAUGUGAAAGCCCCGGGCUCAACCUGGGAACUGCAUCCAAAACUACUGAGCUAGAGUCCGCUCAGAGGGUGGUGGAAUUUCCUGUGUAGCGGUGAAAUGCGUAGAUAUAGGAAGGAACACCAGUGGCGAAGGCUGUCAACCUGGACUGAUACUGACACUGAGGUGCGAA